rnacentral:rRNA from 1 species
AUUGAACGCUAGCGGGAUGCUUUACACAUGCAAGUCGAACGGCAGCGCGGACUUCGGUCUGGCGGCGAGUGGCGAACGGGUGAGUAAUGUAUCGGAACGUGCCCAGUAGCGGGGGAUAACUACGCGAAAGCGUAGCUAAUACCGCAUACGCCCUACGGGGGAAUGCAGGGGAUCGUAAGACCUUGCACUAUUGGAGCGGCCGAUAUCGGAUUAGCUAGUUGGUGAGGUAACGGCUCACCAAGGCGACGAUCCGUAGCUGGUUUGAGAGGACGACCAGCCACACUGGGACUGAGACACGGCCCAGACUCCUACGGGAGGCAGCAGUGGGGAAUUUUGGACAAUGGGGGCAACCCUGAUCCAGCCAUCCCGCGUGUGCGAUGAAGGCCUUCGGGUUGUAAAGCACUUUUGGCAGGAAAGAAACGUCGCGGGCUAAUACCCCGUGGAACUGACGGUACCUGCAGAAUAAGCACCGGCUAACUACGUG